AUUGAACGCUGGCGGCAUGCUUUACACAUGCAAGUCGAACGGCAGCACGGGCUUCGGCCUGGUGGCGAGUGGCGAACGGGUGAGUAAUAUAUCGGAACGUACCCAGAAGUGGGGGAUAACGUAGCGAAAGUUACGCUAAUACCGCAUACGAUCUAUGGAUGAAAGCAGGGGACCGCAAGGCCUUGUGCUCCUGGAGCGGCCGAUAUCUGAUUAGCUAGUUGGUGAGGUAAAGGCUCACCAAGGCGACGAUCAGUAGCUGGUCUGAGAGGACGACCAGCCACCCGGAACCUGGCCCCCGGUCCCACCCCCUCCGGGGGGCCGCGGGGGGAAUUUUUGGCCAGUGGGCGCAACCCUGAUCCAGCAAUCCCGCGUGGUUGAAGAAGGCCUUCGGUUUGUAAAGCCUUUUUUUCGGGGAAAAAACGUUUGGGGCUAAGUCCCUUUGCUAUUGCCGGUCCCUGAAGAAUAGCCCCCGGCUACCUCCGU
rnacentral:rRNA from 1 species